GCUCGGCACUGGAACUACUAACUAAAGUCCAAACUUGCUUUUAACCCUCCAGUUUUCUAAUCCUAAUUUCAAAAUUGCGGUUUCAGGACAGAGUGGUUUCGGUGGAGCACCAUGGGUAAAAGGGCAGAAGGAGGGGCAACAGGAGGUGAUAGACAGAGGUGGGUAAAGUUCAAAGAAAUACUGUAAGAACAUAAGAAGUAGGAGCAAGAAUAGACCAGCUGGCCCAUCGAACCUGC